ACAUAAUCCCAUUUAUUUUUCCUUUCCAUCGUCACUACUAUUUUUCAAUUCCCGCUUAUUCAAAAUCGCAACCCCAAAUUGUUUGAAAAAAAAAUCUCAACCCCAAAUCGGAGCUAAAUCACACGCUAAAUCGGAAUGCGCUAUAUCGGAAUUGAAUCACGCUUCUUCUUCACUCGCACGUUUGUUCCAUUCUGAGCAAAAUCGAAGCUGAAUCUUCUUCGGAGCAUGAAGAUUUCGUCACUGUAAGUGAAAACCUCUCUCUCUCUCUCUCUCUAUUUUGUUCUUCUCUGAGAUUACAUUGUUGCUGAGAUUUUUCUACAUGUGAUUUGCGAUUUGUGGAAUAUAAUGUUCAUCUUCGUUUUUCAUUCUGUUGUCUAAUUGCGUGUUAGUGAUUUUCGUUGCUGAGAUUUUUUUGCGUUUUGAUUAAAUAAUCUGAUAUUUCAAGUGAUUUUUGCAAACGUGGUAUCUGAUAUUAGUAAAUAAUCUGUUGAUUGGUCUGUUAGUGAGACUUAAUUGAGAAAUUAGGGUUAAGAGUGGAAAUUGAACUGUAUUGACAUGAAAUAUAUUCUAUUAUCCAUCGGUUUACUACAUGGUAAGACAACAGAAAAUUAUCAGUAGAUGCAAAACCUCGAACAAUCAAUUUCAGUUAACAGCAAACAUAUUCUUACUCUUGAUGUUGGCUGGAUCUUGCGAUUGGAUCUCCGAGGCUGGACAUGAAAUAUAUUCUAUUAUCCAUCUUCAGCAAACAUAUUCUUACUCUUGAGGGUGGGUCAAUGUGAUCUAGAUGAGAUCUUUCUAGUGAUUUCCAUCUUGGAUAUGAUUUAGAUAAUGAUCCGAUGCUUUGGUGUUAUAUGGUAUUAAAACAUACCUUUAUGAAAUUUUUAGUGUGUUUCCAUCUUGGAUAUGAAAGGAAGUAAAAACAAUGUGAUACAUUUGUAAUUUUAACCAAAACCGGAUAUAGAAAAUGUUUUCUCAACCGAAUAAGCCCUCGACAUACUAAUGUUAUAUACUGUAUAAUCCCUGUAUCAGUGAAGUGGCUCUCUUCUAUUGCCACACAAUGAUAGGUUUGUUGGCUAACAGUUGAUGUGAGUCUACAUUGACAGUUUUAGAAUAACGCUUUAGACAUGAUGUCUUGCUUCCCCUGUAUACGGUACUGUUUUAUGGAUAUUAAACAGUUCCAGAUGACCUGUGCCAUGGCUAGAGCUAGACUAGACUGUUAACAAAAUUUUGAUCAUUCUUCCCCUUUUCUAAAUAACAGUAUGCUAAAUCCUCGUCUUCGUUUUGCUCCCAUAAACACACAUGUAAAAGUUCGAGGAGUUGUCCUUAUUCUUGAAAAAAAUUCUAAUAUAACAUGAUUCAUGAAUGCUCCUUUAUAAUUAUGCUAUAUGGACUAGUGUGACCAGGUUGUAAAAGGCUUUCAUGGCCCCUUCCAUUACAUCAAUAUGAGAAAAUUUCAGUGUUCCAUCUUAUACUUCGUUUUACUUCAAGACAAUUCCUUAAGCUUGAGCUGAAUUAUUUAAUUUUUCUACAUCUCACUUUCUAUCUCAUUAUUGUAAUUGGAUAAUAUAGCUGCUGUACGUGAGCGCAAGUCAAAUGGAUACUUGCUUAUUGCAACGAGUGGAGGACUAAACCAA
rnacentral:lncRNA from 1 species